rnacentral:rRNA from 1 species
GGGGCUCGCAAGGGCUCUCGCCACAGGAGGGGUCCGCGUCCGAUUAGCUAGUUGGUAGGGUAAUGGCCUACCAAGGCGACGAUCGGUAGCCGGCCUGAGAGGGUGAUCGGCCACACUGGAACUGAGACACGGUCCAGACUCCUACGGGAGGCAGCAGUGGGGAAUUUUGCGCAAUGGGCUAACGCCUGACGCAGCAACGCCGCGUGGAGGAUGAAGGUCUUUGGAUUGUAAACUCCUGUCGACCGGGAAAAAGCAACUCG